AUUUUAUGUUGAGGACACUUCCUGAGUGAUCCCUUGAAUCGUUCCCAUGCCUCGUACAAAGAUUCGCUGUCUUUUUAUUCAAAAGCAAUGAUCUCCGCCUUGAGUCU